UCGGAAUUACUGGGCGUAAAGGGCGCGUAGGCGGCUUAUCAAGUCAGGCGUGAAAUUCCCGGGCUCAACCUGGGGGCUGCGCUUGAUACUGAUGAGCUUGAAUGCGGGAGAGGAUAGUGGAAUUCCCAGUGUAGAGGUGAAAUUCGUAGAUAUUGGGAAGAACACCGGUGGCGAAGGCGGCUAUCUGGCCCGUAAUUGACGCUGAGGCGCGAAAGCGUGGGGAGCAAACAGG
rnacentral:rRNA from 1 species